rnacentral:lncRNA from 1 species
UUUAUUAUUUUUUUUUCUUUCUUUCUUUCUUUUUUUUUUUUCCGGAUCUAAUUCUGAUUGACAUGAUGAAAUGCAAUAUGAAAUGCUAAAUGAAUGCAUGAAUGUGGAGGGCAAAUUUUGGGGUGUUACAGCUGCCUCUAUUCAAUCAUCAGCUAAACCGAGUAGCAUGAAAGCGAACAGCUUAUCAGACAAACGGGGUGAGUUGU